UUGGCAACUAUGGGGAGCAGCUGGCGCAUGUGAGCAGUUUUUCGUCGGAGCUAGUCAGCGCUACAAAAACAGCUCAGCGAAACUGGAAAAAAGCUCGGAAACCAUGACAACGCGAUGGCUCUUUGACGUCUAAUCACUGUAUCUAGGCCAAGUAUCCAUAGUUAUAUCAGCUUUUGCAAGCUUUUUGUCACUGCACGAUUGUUCGGCUGCUUGCUGGAAGAAAAAGGAAGACGCCAUGGUUUGCAUUCCAUGCAUUAUCGCUCCAGUUUUGCUGUUCAUCUGGUACCGGUUCAUCCAGCCCAUUGUGCUUUCAAUCUGGAACCCGUGGGCUAAAAAGGAGAUCCGCAUGGAUGGUGCAGGGGACGCCUCUGGCAAAGAAAAAUCGAACGAUACCACCAACGAGGUCCCAACUGAUGGAGACCCAGCCAAGGUUGCCAGCAGCCCAUCUGAACCACCUGCAGAUGCAGAAGUAUCAAAGAAAACAGAUUAACUCUUUAUGAGCCGUCAUUUUGUACAUUCCUAUGAACCAGUCAAGUGUCAAAUGCUAAGUGUUUUAUGUUGUGUUUGAUCACACCCUUUUAUUUGCUUUUGUAAUAUUGUGAACGUGUUCUACAUGGAGCACAAGUGUGUGACAAUGCCAAUGUAGAAGUUUUCUUGCAAGAAAUGUCAUCGCAGCAGACCAUGUCUUUGACUCUGUAGGAAGCGAAGGUUUUUUUCAUGGCAAAAUAUUUGUUAUGUUAGCGAACUGCUGUUCUGGCUACUACUAUAUGAACUGUUUGCUAUGUCAUCUUUGGGUGGUCAAUAAAGCCUUAUUUAAUAGGAUCAAAAUAAUGUUUUACAUUUAUCUA
rnacentral:lncRNA from 1 species